GCUCCAGUAGCUCAAUCGGUUAGAGCGCCGUGCUUAUAUGAACGUUCUUCAUAUGACGGAAGCACAGCCACGCGGAGGUUGCGGGUUCGAGCCCCGCCUGGAGCA
rfam:Catenaria anguillulae PL171 BCR44scaffold_100, whole genome shotgun sequence.